UCAUUUCAUACACAUAUGCCUCAACAGCAUUUUUCUUCUCUUUGGUCUCCUCCAUUACCCGAUCCUGUAAAGCCAUUUCAAACUCCUUUUCCACCGCUUUUUGGACAUCAGCAGCUGCCAAUCCACCAUAAAUCAUUUCCACUACCGGUAUGUUGGUUUUCUUUACCUUUUUCUUCUGUGCUUCAACCUGAAUGCCAAGAUAUCAGCUAGGUACAAUACAAGAACUACCUACCCACAGAAAACUACUGUGUACCCACCCAACACAACACACCAUGAACCUAAAUUGCUAGAGAAAUAAUAAGCUAAGUUACUCCAACUCAAGUUGCAACUCUAAGACCCUUCAGGGACUCCCAAAGAAAAUGUUAGGCCACCUACUACAAUAUAGUAGGAAGGGUAGUAAGGGAAAAGCACGUGUUUGUGGGAGUGUGGCUGCUGAGAGAACAUUGGGGGACCACAGUUUGUUGAGCAGCCUUUGCCUAUUUCUAUCAAAUAAAUUUUUGUUAGAACGGUGUUCUAUUUUCAACCUGGGACGGAUCAAUAGAACGGUUUAAUUAUCUUAUGAGACAUUGGAGGUGUUUGAACAGGAUGUUUCUGAAUUUAUAUUUUGCUUUUUUAAAAAAAAUUAACUUCCCUGAACUUUUAUUAUUCACACGAGUAUUAUUUAUCUAAAAUUCUAAUGUGUAAAAAGGAUGAAGUACAUUUUAAAUCUUUCAAUUAAGUAUUUCACACACUGAAAUAGAAUAAAAAGAGAAGAAAAUGAAGAAGUAUUCAACACACUGAAAUAGAAUGUUAAAAGAAAGUGGGGAAAAAAUCAGAACCAUGAUGAAGUAGAAUGAAAAGAGAAGGAAAAGGAGACCAGGAUAAUAAGAAAGCCAAUUAGGAAGUGUGACUUCGGAAAUCGAACUGAGAAAAGGCAGAGUUUAAUAUGCCAUAGACCUCCAACUUUACCACACAGACUAUAGCUUAUAAUUCCUAGAUUUAAUUAUUGAGAAAUAAAAAUUAUCCAUAUCGAUAGAGCCCACACAAGAUAAUAUGGAGAAUUCCCCGUACUCACCUUGGAAUCUGUCUCCAUUUGUACGGAAUGUUCUGACUCUGCACUACCAUUUUCAGCUCCAGCAUCUGUGGUUCCUUUGGCAUCUUGCAUGUUAACAUCGUUCUCAUUAGAACUGGGAGGGGCAGCAGUUUCAGCAGGAGCUUCAUCAGUCUCCAUUUUAGCUGGCUGUUCCCUGGUGACUGGAAUAUCCACGUCCUCCUCUUCU
rnacentral:lncRNA from 1 species